GGAUGGAGAGAAAUGGAGGAGGCUGUAAGGGGAGGGGGAGACAGAGUUGUCUCUCUCUCCCUCUCUCGCUCUUUUCUCCACCGCUUUAUUUCGUUCAUGUUCACAGCGCUGAUCUUCACCGUUGCUGCAGAGCGAAACGUAGAGUCGUGUCCCACUCAACCUCCCCCGUUUGCACUUUUGGGUACAGUAAACGGUGGGAUAAAAGACGGGCUGAAGUGAGUUGGUCAGACGGGCCUUGCCAAACCCACAGGCUGUUUCUGCCGCUCUGCUACCGCUGCGCUGUUUUUGAUGUGAGCCACAGUGCAGAUGCAGUGUUUUUUGGGCGAUCACCAAUAAGCUACCGUACUGGAGGAGAUGCUGGUAAAGUACGGGAGACCUUUCAAGAAAGCGAAUGCUGCUCCGGUGUGUCAUAG
rnacentral:lncRNA from 1 species